CUAACAAGGAUUCCCUGAGUAGCGGCGAGCGAAAGGGGAAAAGCCCAGCGCUGAAGCCCCUGCUUUUCUAACGGAGCAGCGGGCAAUGUAGCGUAAGGGAGCAGUUUUCUUCCGUCGCGCUGCGGGAACCCAAGUCCCCCUGACUGGGGCCAUCGCCCAUGGCGGGUGCAAGGCCCCUGCGGUUCCUGUGUACGCACGGCGCGGCGGUCGGCUGUCUCUCAGGAGUCGGGUUGCUUGAAAGUGCAGCCCUAAGUGGGUGGUAAACUCCAUCUAAGGCUAAAUACUUCCACGAGACCGAUAGCAAACAAGUACCGUGAGGGAAAGUUGAAAUAGAACUUUGGAGAGAGAGUUCAAGAGUACGUGAAACCGCUCAGAGGUAAACGGGUGGGCCCUCGAAGGUCGAACAGGGGGAUUCAACCCGUCGCCAUUGGGAGCGAGCUUAACGCGUUUGCCUGACCGAGCGUGGCGGGUGAUCGGCGCGAACUCGCGGACCAAAAAUCCUUCCGUGCACUACGGCUUUGCGAAAUUCGAUUCUCGAUCUCGGGAACCUCGAAAAAACGGAUCCAAACGAAGCUUCCUCCGUGGAGUUUCAGCGACCGGACCGUAGCCAGUGCAACGGAUGGCGGCGGGCGCACUUCCCCCUCAGUAGGACGCCGCGACCGGUCGGGAAAAAUAAACAAAAGUCGCAGCACUGCGGCGAGGUUCAAACGAGGGCAGGUAUCUGUUGCCGGUAGGUCCACCUUCCCUUCGCGGGGUUGGUUAUCCACGUGGCCCCGGUCGGAGUUAUAGCCCUUCCUCGCCGAGCGCACUGCCUCCCGACCGAACUGUAACGUCUCGAGACUGACGACGCGUGCCCGCGUGAUAACAAGCGCGCGCCAUCGUCCGGGCAGGCUGGGUUCCAUCGUCGGCGGACGCCGCGAACGCGGCGGUCGUUCUGGCUUUGGGCCUGCCGUUAAUGCCCGAGGACGUGAUCUGGCGUGGUGGCAUAGCUCGCGGUCGGCGGCGAGUANNNNNNNNNNNNNNNNNNNNNNNNNNNNNNNNNNGACCAAGGAGUCUAACAUGUGCGCGAGUCGUAGGGCUCUGCAAAACCCGAAGGCGCAAUGAAAGUGAAGGUUCGCGUUGGGCUGUGGAUGUCUCGCAUGCUCGGGGGUUCGCCCUCGUGUUUUGUGGGCGCUGCUCCCUCGCGUGACCAAGGCGGGAUCCCCUCCAGAGAGCAUCGGUAUGGCUAUCGCGCUUCAAACAGGCCGCCGGUUGUUCACAAGAAAAUUUCUGGAGCUAAGAAUACCGGGUGGACAAAGAACCCCCGGGGGGCGCACCGCCGGCCCGUCUCGACUGUGCUUUGAAAAACGCGGGAAUCGACGCGUGCCAUUUGCUUUUCAUUGAGCAUUGGCCGUGUGCAGACCCGGUCCGUUUCAUGGCAAACCAGUGAGGCGGAGCAAGAGCGCACACGUUGGGACCCGAAAGAUGGUGAACUAUGCCCGGGCAGGACGAAGCCAGAGGAAACUCUGGUGGAGGUCCGUAGCGAUUCUGACGUGCAAAUCGAUCGUCGGACCUGGGUAUAGGGGCGAAAGACUAAUCGAACCAUCUAGUAGCUGGUUCCCUCCGAAGUUUCCCUCAGGAUAGCUGGUGCUCGGAAAAAACAGUCUCAUGCGGUAAAGCGAAUGAUUAGAGGCCUUGGGGUCGAAACGACCUCAACCUAUUCUCAAACUUUCAAUGAGUGAGACGUCUGGCUUUCUUAAAACCGAAGCCCAGACUUUGGAUGCGAGUGCCCAGUGGGCCACUUUUGGUAAGCAGAACUGGCGCUGUGGGAUGAACCAAACGCCGGGUUAAGGCGCCCGAUGCGAACGCUUAUCAGACCCCAUGAAAGGUGUUGGUUGCUAUUGACAGCAGGACGGUGGCCAUGGAAGUCGGAAUCCGCUAAGGAGUGUGUAACAACUCACCUGCCGAAGCAACUAGCCCUGAAAAUGGAUGGCGCUCCAGCGUUGAGCCUAACCCCGGCCGCCGGGGCAAAAGAGGACGAUUCGAACCCAACCCCCUUCGGGGGGCGGUCGAUCUCUGUCGAUGCCCCGGCGAGUAGGAGGGUCGCGGCGGUGUGCGUAGAAGGUGUCGGGCGUGAGCCCGCCUGGAGCCGCCGCCGGUGCAGAUCUUGGUGGUAGUAGCAAAUACUCGAGUGAGAACCUUGAGGACUGACGUGGAGAAGGGUUCCAUGUGAACAGCAGUUGAACAUGGGUCAGCCGGCCCUAAGGAAUAGGGGAAACCCGUUCCGAACGACACCGGGGAUAUACAAAUAAAAAACCCCCGUGCGUCCGAAAGGGAAUCGGGUUAAUAUUCCCGAGCCUGGAUGCAGAGAUCGACCCAAGAGUCAUAUCUCNNNNAAACAAAAAAUCACAAAACACAAACUGUCAGUCGUGAUACGAGUACAAUGUACAAUAUGUGAAUGUGCGGUUUAAAGGAAACGAAAGUCGGGAGAGGGUGUGUAUCGACCAACCUCUCACUAAAGCCUUUAAUUUUCAUCNUGGUACUUACACACGCAGUAGUCGAGUAGCGUGCGUCGUGUGCACCGUCUGCCUUUACGCAUUCGAUUUGCUGACUAUAUUUGUACCGUGGGAUAGAAUUUUUUUUAGGGCAAGUGUGUGUGUUGCAAUACGCCUUCCUCGCUUUUUUUUACAAGACCUUUAUCCUCGCCUUUCUAACUUGUUCGUACUAUGUACACGCUGCGGCGGAAAGUGAUAUAUAAAAAGAGAAGAGACUCGGGUCAAAAGCGGUAACGCGAACGAACUCGGAGAAGUCGGUGGGAUCCCCGGAAAGAGUUUUCUUUUCUUUGUAAAGGACGGACUCCCUGGAAUUGGUUCGCCCAGAGAUAGGGAUGUUGUUCCUGUAAAGCACCGCGGCUCUUGCGGUGUCCGGAGUGUUCCUGCCGGCCCUUGAAAAUCCGAGGGA
rnacentral:rRNA from 1 species